rnacentral:rRNA from 1 species
UACGUAGGGUGCGAGCGUUAAUCGGAAUUACUGGGCGUAAAGCGUGCGCAGGCGGUUCGUUAUGUCCGAUGUGAAAGCCCCGAGCUCAACUUGGGAAUGGCAUUGGAAACUGGCGGGCUGGAGUGUGGCAGAGGGGGGUAGAAUUCCACGUGUAGCAGUGAAAUGCGUAGAGAUGUGGAGGAACACCGAUGGCGAAGGCAGCCCCCUGGGUCAAGAUUGACGCUCAUGCACGAAAGCGUGGGGAGCAAACAGG